UACGUAGGAGGCGAGCGUUGUCCGGAGUUACUGGGCGUAAAGGGUGCGUAGGCGGCUGCGCGCGUGGAGGGUGAAAUCUCUCGGCUUACCCGGGAGGGGGGCUUUCCAGAGGCGUGGGCUUGAGGGACGGAGAGGGAUAGUGGAAUUCCUGGUGUAGCGGUGAAAUGCGUAGAUAUCAGGAGGAACACCGGUGGUGUAGACGGCUAUCUGGACCGUAACUGACGCUGAGGCACGAAAAGCGGUGGGUAGCAAAACCAGGGA
rnacentral:rRNA from 1 species